GACAGAAGUUGUGUUAGGUUAUUUUAAGAGGCAAUAAGAAUCCUCAAUCCACCUCAGACAUUUAUAUAUAUUUUUUUAAUAGUGAUCCAGGUUCCCUUUGAUUCACCUUUCCAAGAACAGCAAGCCUCAUAAGAACUGGCACUAGCAAUUCAGACGUACUUAUUUAAACCUGAAAAACCUUACACAGUUCUAAGUAAACCAGGCAUCAUUACUUCCUCUGCACCUGCACAGUACUGUGUCUGCCAGCCUCAUUUCUCUUUUGUCACGUUUUCUGCAUUUGCUGUCACUGACACAAAUCACUGCCUUAUUUUCUUUAGAAGAUCUAAAUGAAAUGAGAGCUUGUUGUGCCUGAAAAGUGUUGCCCCUAUUUUUCUGCAACUUUUAAUACCACCUCGUGAGCUUCCAUAGCACUCCAGAUAAGACUGCACUUUGCUGCUUAGAGCUUAUUAAUAUAUUUUUUGCUUUACUCAAUUGUAUCUUUUCCUCUAGUUUUACACCAACUCAUGGCUGUUAGCUCACAAGGACAGGAGAGAUUCUCUGGAAUUUGACAGCUAAAAUCAGCAUGGGAGUACGUGUGGCCUGCUUCUCUUUACUAGGCUUGGUCCUGUUGUGGUAUAAGAAUGCAAUGCAGCCCAACAGUAAUUACUGUAUACAGUCUUUUUGGAGAUGUUUCUUUUGCAAAACUUACAGUGAUUGAACUUGUAUCCAAAGUUUAAGUCAAAUGCAUUUCUAGGCUAGUUUUUAAAGCAUUUGGUAAUGCCAAGGCUCUAACUGCCUGAGUAAUAAUUCCUAUCAGAUGGAAAAGUGGUACACUGCUGUAUGGGAACUGCUGAAUCACAGCCUGAACCUCUGAUUGAUCACCUGAGGCAAGCACUCAGUCAGCUGCCAGAGCACAGGUGAAGGCAAUUCAGCUGUGUGACCGGAAGGGGUGGCACCAUUUAAGGGCUGCCUGCCACUGAGGAAGGAUCUCUUCUGGAGGUUGCUCUCUGUGGAGUUUCUUGUGAGUUUACAACACUGCUUGUUGCAGAGUUGCAUCUGGCGCUCCUCAACUAAAUCUGGGAUGGUUAAGAAACAACCAAGACAGCUCUUUUCUCACAGUGACAUUCCAUCACUAGAAGGCCUCAUCUCACAAAGGAAAGUUUGUUGGUAGUGCAAUCUUAAUCCAAGAGGAAAGCGUAGCCCAAAUAAUCAUUGUUAUCUAUCAUUAUUGGCAAAAAGGAACUGCAAAAAAAGUCUGCGAUCACUGGUUUCCACGUACAUUUUGUGUGCUUCUGGAACGUUUGAAUUAUCUUCUUUUGAAGAAACUCUUGUAUGAAACUGAGAGAUAGCUUCAGCCUGUAAAAUACAAGUGCUUUCCUUGUCCUACAUCUUUAUGCUAUGAGAUGGAAAAAAUUGUACUUUCUGGUUGUAUGGGAACUUUUGAUCAUGGCAUGAAACUCUGCUUGACCACCUGAGACAAGCAAUGAGUCAGCUGCAGGAGCACAGGUGAAGGCAAUUCACUUGUGCUACCAGGAGGGGAUGAAGCCUGGCUCCACCUCUCUUAGACCCCUCUUAAGGACUGACUGCUACUGAGGAAGGAUGUGUCUGGAGGUCGCUCCUUGAGGAGUUUACUGUGAGCCUACAACACUGGUGAGCAUUUUCAUUUAUUUUGAUUAUCUUUCCACUGUGAUAAUCUUGCUAAGCCUGACAUCUUAUUGAUGUUAGGCUUAUACUUAUUGAUCCUACAUCUUAUCAAGCCUGACCUCUGUAUACUUACUGACUGUACACUGGUGUACUUUUUACAUUAGAUUUGGACCACAUGUAAUAUUACUUCCUUUCCCCAUUAGUCUCUUAAUAGGCAUUGUGAGUAACAUUAUUUUUUAGCCUACUUGUAAAAAUGAGAUUGUGAGUAAUUUUCAUUACAAACACUAAAUCAAAUUAAGUCAUUAAUUUUAAUACAGUUCUAGUUUGAGUCGUCUUGUGAUUCAUGUUGUUAAGAUUCAUACCUGUAACGUUCAGUCACACAAUGCUUACUCAUUCUUAAUUUGAGUCCA